CGCGUGUGUGAUGAAGGACCUUCCGGGUUGGUUAAAGACACUUUCGUCACGUGACGAUGAUGACGGUAACGUGAGAAGAAGCCCCGGCUAACUUCGUGC
rnacentral:rRNA from 1 species